rnacentral:rRNA from 1 species
CGCAACCCCUAUCCUCAGUUGCCAUCAUUAAGUUGGGCACUCUGUGGAGACUGCCGGUGUCAAACCGGAGGAAGGUGGGAUGACGUCAAGUCCUCAUGGCCCUUAUGACCAGGGCUACACACGUGCUACAAUGGCCGGUACAAAGAGUUGCGAUACCGCGAGGUGGAGCUAAUCUCAUAAAGCCGGUCUCAGUUCGGAUUGGAGUCUGCAACUCGACUCCAUGAAGUUGGAAUCGCUAGUAAUCGCGGAUCAGCAUGCCGCGGUGAAUACGUUCCCGGGCCUU